rnacentral:lncRNA from 1 species
AUGAAGACAUGUCUUGGGCACGCAGGGAGCAGCAGGCCCUGGGCAGAGUGCCCUCUAGAGGUAGGUGGGCUCACUGCAGCGCUGGUGGAGGCUGCGGCUGUCUAUUGGCGAUGUACAACGACAACUGCAUCUGCGUGCCAUCGUAAUGUUUACCAUAGGCUGUUUGGAAUUUUACUAAACAUAUUCAUUUGGGUUCCUUAUUACCUCGUUUCCAUGUUUCCAUUUACAGUAGCUCAAAAAUAUUCUCUCGCUCCCUCGUUCCCUCCUUUGCUCCUCUCGCUCUCUCUCUCUCUCUCUCUUCCUAUCUCCCUCCCUCCCUCCCUCUCUCUCUUCCCUCCCCCUCUCCCUCCCUCCCUCCCUCCCUCCCUCCCUCCCUCCCUCCCUCUCCCUCUCCCUCCUUCCCUCCCUCCAUCUCUCUCUUCCCUCCCCCUCUCCCUCCCUCCCUCCCUCUCCCUCCUUCCCUCCCUCUCUCUCUUCCCUCCCCCUCUCCCUCCUUCUCUCCCUCUCUCUCUUCCCUCCCUCUCUCUCUUCCCUCCCCCUCUCCCUCCUUCCCUCCCUCUCUCUCUUCCCUCCCCCUCUCCCUCCUUCCCUCCCUCCUCCCUCCCCCCUCCCCCUCUCCCUCCUUCCCUCCCUCCUCCCUCCCCCCUCCCCCUCUCCCUCCUUCCCUCCCUCCUCCCUCCCCCCUCCCCCUCUCCCUCCUUCCCUCCCUCCUCCCUCCCCUCUCCCCGCCCUAGCUCCGUCCCCGCUGCCCAGCCGCUCCCGGUCCAGCUCGGUGGGGGAGUCCCUGGGCCUGACCCCGGGGAGGGCCAUGCGGGCACUGGUGGCCCACCCGGCCUCCUCCAACCCCAAGCUGCUGUCCUUCACCCGGGGGGAGACGGUCACCGUGCUGCUCCUGGAGCCCCGCAACGGCUGGCUGUACGGCCGCACCGACGCCAACCUGCGGUGGGUCCAGGUGUGGGGGGGUUUACUUGGUGCAUGUAUUUGUAUUUGUAUUUCUUUCUUUUUUUCUUUGCCUUUUUUAUUCUUUCACUCAUCUAUUUUAUUUUAUUAUUUCAUUUUAUUUCAUGCACUCUUCCUAUGUGA